UGAGUAGCUUGCUAUGAACUGUUUUAGCGGCGGACGGGUGAGUAACGCGUGGGUAACCUGCCUCAUACAGGGGGAUAACAGUUAGAAAUGACUGCUAAUACCGCAUAAGACCACAGCAUCGCAUGAUGCAGUGUGAAAAACUCCGGUGGUAUAAGAUGGACCCGCGUUGGAUUAGCUAGUUGGUGAGGUAACGGCCCACCAAGGCAACGAUCCAUAGCCGACCUGAGAGGGUGACCGGCCACAUUGGAACUGAGACACGGUCCAAACUCC
rnacentral:rRNA from 1 species